rnacentral:piRNA from 1 species
UGCUUUUUCACAUUAGCAGGGUCUAGCCUU